rnacentral:rRNA from 1 species
GUGAAAUUGUUGAAAGGGAAGCGCUUGCAACCAGACCUGCCUGCAGUUGCUCAUCCGGGCUUUUGCCCGGUGCACUCUUCUGCUGUCAGGCCAGCAUCAGUUCGGGCGGUCGGAUAAAGGCUUCGGGAAUGUAGCUCCUCUCGAGGAGUGUUAUAGCCCGUUGCGAAAUGCGGCCAGCCUGAACUGAGGUCCGCGCUUCGGCUAGGAUGCUGGCGUAAUGGUUGUAAGCGGCCCGUCUUGAAACACGGACCAAGGAGUCUAACAUCUGUGCGAGUGUUUGGGUGUCAAACCCGUACGCGUAAUGAAAGUGAACGGAGGCGGGAACCCCUCGGGGUGCACCGUCGACCGAUCCUGAUGUCUUCGGAUGGAUUUGAGUAAGAGCAUAGCUGUUGGGACCCGAAAGAUGGUGAACUAUGCCUGAAUAGGGUGAAGCCAGAGGAAACUCUGGUGGAGGCUCGCAGCGGUUCUGACGUGCAAAUCGAUCGUCAAAUUUGGGCAUAGGGGCGAAAGACUAAUCGAACUAUCUAGUAGCUGGUUCCUGCCGAAGUUUCCCUCAGGAUAGCAGUAACGUUUUCAGUUUUAUGAGGUAAAGCGAAUGAUUAGAGGCCUGGGGGUUGAAACAACCUUCACCUAUUCUCAAACUUUAAAUAUGUAAGAAGUCCUUGUUGCUUAGUUGAACGUGGACAUUUGAAUGUAUCGUUACUAGUGGGCCAUUUUUGGUAAGCAGAACUGGCGAUGCGGGAUGAACC